rnacentral:rRNA from 1 species
ACAUCCAGCGAACUUGGCAGAGAUGCCUUGGUGCCUUCGGGAACGCUGAGACAGGUGCUGCAUGGCUGUCGUCAGCUCGUGUUGUGAAAUGUUGGGUUAAGUCCCGNAACGAGCGCAACCCUUAUCCUUUGUUGCCAGCGAUUCGGUCGGGAACUCAAAGGAGACUGCCGGUGAUAAACCGGAGGAAGGUGGGGAUGACGUCAAGUCAUCAUGGCCCUUACGAGUAGGGCUACACACGUGCUACAAUGGCGCAUACAAAGAGAAGCGACCUCGCGAGAGCAAGCGGACCUCAUAAAGUGCGUCGUAGUCCGGAUCGGAGUCUGCAACUCGACUCCGUGAAGUCGGAAUCGCUAGUAAUCGUGGAUCAGAAUGCCCACGGUCGAAUACGUUCCGGGCCUUGUACACACCGCCCGUCACACCAUGGGAGUGGGUUGCAAAAGAAGUAGGUAGCUUAACCUUCGGGAGGGCGCUUACCACUUUGUGAUUCAUGACUGGGGUGAAGUCGUAACAAGGUAGGCGUAGCGAG